rnacentral:lncRNA from 1 species
CGGCUUCCGCGCCUCCAGGAGUCCUGAGCCCCGCCCUGCACCCGAACCCCGCCCUCUCCGACGAAGGUUUCCAAGCUUCAAGGACCCACUGGGCCCCGCCCCUCACUCGGGCCCUGCCUCCUCCGGCACGGCUUCCGCGCCUCCAGGAGCCCUGGGCCAGCCCCUCGCUCGAGUCCCGCACCCCUGCGGCGUCGGCCUCCGAGCGUCCAGGGGCCCUGAGCCCCGCCCCUUCCUGCUAUACCCAGCCAUUGCGGGCGUGGGCGGGCGCCACCGGACCGCCCGCCCGCCCCUCCCAGCGUCCGUUAGGGCGCCGCGAGGGGCCCAGAGUCCCUCCCCUUGCUGGGCCUACAACGCCGUCGCAGCGGCCUUAAGCCCCGCCUAUCACUGGAGCCAUGCCCGCGUCCGAGUCCCACCCUCACCGCUGCCAGAGCUACGGCGGCCGCGCGCCUUCGUGGCCGCGCCCGCUCCUGCCCGGGGCCCCGUGUGUCUUGGGCCCGCCCUUCCGGGCGCUGCCGCGCUGGGUGGCGGAGUCGGGAUCCAGGUGGCCCGGCGGCACCCGGCCCAGUCCACCGCCCCUCCCUCGGCCUCGCGCCCCACCCUUUGGCUGAGGAAACAGACUGAGAGGGGAGGUGACUGAUCCAGGGGCAUACAGAAAUUCAGGCCCUGGGGAGUAUAGGGCCAGGCCUGGGGCAGAAGACCGGUUGGCGUCCAGUACGCCGCAGGGACCCGCCAAAGGAGACAGUGCCCAGUGAUGCUCUCCCAAAUCCAGGGGAGAAGGACUCAACGCUCCGGUGCCCACCACAAAAAGACGCCAGCCCCAUAUGAUGUGAAUGCACUGGGCCCCAGCCAGGAGAUGGAGACCCGUGAAGGGAAGCAAAGCAGCGCCUUCCCAGCCAGCAGCAGCAGCUACCCCUCCCAUUUCCUUCUUUGCCUGUGUGGGCCGUUCCCUCAUAGCAGCUCUAAUAUGAGAUGCUGGAGCCUGACCCAGAAUCGGGGCCCAACACAGUAUCCCCUUCUCGGACAGCACUGUGGUCCCUGCAGUUCAUGCGCCGUCUGUCUCUGUGCCUCAGUUCUCCCCUGUGCCAUGACCUCCCAUCAGGGCCAGCAUAUGGGGCAUCAGGAGAAUGGGUGCAGUUGUCACCUGGAAACCUCAGAACUCUUGGGGCCCAGUUAUGGCCAUACACAGCAGCCACCCCUGUCCCCAAACACUGAAGGUGAGCCCCUGCCCAGACUCCCCAGGAGGCCAGGCUGCCAUCAGACCCAGCCUGCCCCAGGCCUGUGGACAGGGCCAGUCCCAGGGCAGGAGGGUAGUGGCCCAGCCUGUGGGUCCCUCCAGGCCUCUCAUCUGCUUGUGUGCCUGAGUAAGUCCAGGCUGGCUCUGGGCUCCAGGUGCUCCCCUGGAGGACCCAGAGGGGGCUUCCCCAGAGGGCCUCUUUUGCCCCAUGGGAUGUGGCCUGACGCCAAUUCUUCUGCAUCCAUCACACCGUUAUGGCGUCUAGUACUUAGCUCUCUGGGUUUAUUUUGCACACACUCCUGCCCCUGA